GGUGGUUUGUCGCGUUGUUCGUGAAAACUCACAGCUUAACUGUGGGCGUGCGGGCGAUACGGGCAGACUGGAGUACUGCAGGGGAGACUGGAAUUCCUGGUGUAGCGGUGGAAUGCGCAGAUAUCAGGAGGAACACCGGUGGCGAAGGCGGGUCUCUGGGCAGUAACUGACGCUGAGGAGCGAAAGCGUGGGGAGCGAACAGGAUUAGAUACCCUGGUAGUCCACGCCGUAAACGGUGGGUACUAGGUGUGGGUUUCCUUCCUUGGGAUCCGUGCCGUAGCUAACGCAUUAAGUACCCCGCCUGGGGAGUACGGCCGCAAGGCUAAAACUCAAAGGAAUUGACGGGGGCCCGCACAAGCGGCGGAGCAUGUGGAUUAAUUCGAUGCAACGCGAAGAACCUUACCUGGGUUUGACAUGCACAGGACGCUGGUAGAGAUAUCAGUUCCCUUGUGGCCUGUGUGCAGGUGGUGCAU
rnacentral:rRNA from 1 species